GAUGAAGAACGUAGCGAAAUGCGAUAAGUAAUGUGAAUUGCAGAUUUCAGUGAAUCAUCGAAUCUUUGAACGCACCUUGCGCCUUGUGGUAUUCCACAAGACAUGCCCGUUUGAGUAUCAUUAAAUCAUCAACUCUAAAACCUUUGUGGUUUUUUUAGAGCUUGGUCUUGAGGGUUUUGCAGGCUUUUUUUUUUCGAGUCUGCUCCCUUUAAAUGCAUUAGCGAGACUUCCCUAUGCUGAACCGUCUCUUUGACGUGAUAAUUAUCUGCGUCGAAUUUUGGUUCUCGUUGGGCUUGCUUCUAAUCGUCUGUUAAAGACAAAACGGAUUUGGGUGCAUAUAUGCGCCUUUUUCCAAAACCUUUUUUGAUCUCAAAUCGGGUAGGACUACCCGCUGAACUUAAGCAUAUCAAUAAGCGGAGGA
rnacentral:misc_RNA from 1 species